UCUAUUUCACCACGUUCUUCUUACCGAGUCACUUUCUCAGUUCGAUACUUAAAAGCAAUGUCAUUAUUUAGCGUUGACAGAAUAGCUAACUGUGACACGGAUAUGUCGUUGUCGCAGACAAAAUUCACAUGUCUUGU